rnacentral:rRNA from 1 species
GAAUUUUAUAUAUGAUAUUAUUAAUUAAAUUUUUAAAGUAGGAUAAAAUUAUAUAUUUUGUUGGGAGGAUAGUUAAAUAUAAAAAACUUCAAUUAAAAUUUUAAAUAUAAAUUAAUAAAUUUUAGAAUGGUUAAUAAAUUAAUAAAGAAUUAAUUACCUUAGGGAUAACAGCGUAAUAUUUUUAAAGAGUUCAUAUUAAUAAAAGUGUUUGC